rnacentral:rRNA from 1 species
GAUGAACGCUGGCGGCGUGCCUAAUACAUGCAAGUCGAGCGAACAGAUGAGGAGCUUGCUCCUCUGACGUUAGCGGCGGACGGGUGAGUAACACGUGGAUAACCUACCUAUAAGACUGGGAUAACUUCGGGAAACCGGAGCUAAUACCGGAUAAUAUAUUGAACCGCAUGGUUCAAUAGUGAAAGACGGUUUUGCUGUAACUUAUAGAUGGAUCCGCGCCGCAUUAGCUAGUUGGUAAGGUAACGGCUUACCAAGGCAACGAUGCGUAGCCGACCUGAGAGGGUGAUCAGCCACACUGGAACUGAGACACGGUCCAGACUCCUACGGGAGGCAGCAGUAGGGAAUCUUCCGCAAUGGGCGAAAGCCUGACGGAGCAACGCCGCGUGAGUGAUGAAGGUCUUCGGAUCGUAAAACUCUGUUAUUAGGGAAGAACAAAUGUGUAAGUAACUAUGCACGUCUUGACGGUACCUAAUCAGAAAGCCACGGCUAACUACGUG